CGUCGUCGUCGCCGUCGCCGUCGCCGUUGCCGUCGCCGUCGUCGCCGUCGCUACCGCUAUCGUCAUCAUCAUCCUCGUGGUCAACGUCCGCGUGUUCGCUACCGCCGUUCUCCACGCCGCUUGUCGCUUUGCCACUACGUUCAUAAAGAAGAUUGGGUGUUGAACAGCGCAAGUUCUGCGGUAACAAGGAGCCAGGAUGGCAAGCAAUAAGGGUACAGGUGUCACCAUGCACAUAAAGCCGGUGGAAGUUUCCGAGCAGCUGCAAACUGGAGAGAAGUUUAUCAAGUGGGACGAGGAUUCUGGGGUGGCAACGCCGGUGACUUUGAAAGUGGAUAAAUAUGGUUUUUACUUACACUGGGUGGAUCAAAAUAAUGAGAUGGAUAUGCUGGAUAUAGCAAUUAUAAGAGAUACUCGCACAGGAAAAUAUGCAAAAGUACCAAAGGAUCCAAAGCUGAAAUCGCUUGUAACGAUGGGUUCUCAAGACUCGUUAGAAGAUAAAACUGUAACAAUCUGUUACGGCUCCGACUUUGUCAAUAUGAAUUUUAUUAAUUUUUGCACAACGCGUGCAGAAAUAGCACAACAUUGGUCAGAACAACUUUUUCAAAUGGCGUACAAUUUGAUUCAAUUAAACACUAGUACAACUAUGUUCUUAUUGAAAGCACAUACUAAACUUAUACUUACUACUGAUAAAAAUGAAAAGAUACCAGUAAAAAAUAUAGUAAAAAUGUUCGCACAAAACAAAGAUGACCGCAAGCGUGUUGAGAAAGCACUCGAUAUUUCUGGCUUUCCAUCCGGCAAAAAUGACGUCGUGCCGUUGUUAAAAUUUCAAUUCGAAGAUUUCUUCAACUUUUACAAGUCACUGACUCAGAGAUCAGACGUGGAAAAAGUGUUUGAAGGAAUUAUUAGUAGACGUAAAAUAAUGUCUGUUUCGCAAUUUGUGGACUUUUUGAACAAGUCGCAAAGAGAUCCGCGCCUCAACGAGAUAUUGUAUCCCUACGCAAAUGAAGCAAGGGCAAAGGAUAUUAUAAAUCAGUACGAACCCAAUAAAUGUAAUGCAAAUAAAGGGCAACUGAGUUUUGACGGAUUCUUGAGAUAUCUUAUGAGUGAAGACAAUCCGAUUGUUGCUGUCUCUAAAUUUGAAUUGUCUGACGAUAUGGAUCAACCGCUUCCGCAUUACUUUAUAAAUUCUAGUCACAACACAUAUUUAACAGGACAUCAACUUACUGGAAGAAGUUCUGUAGAAAUUUAUCGUCAAUGUCUUCUAUCUGGUUGUCGAUGUGUUGAAUUAGAUUUUUGGAAUGGAAAAUUUGACGAACCUGUUAUUGUACACGGAUACACAUUCGUACCUGAAAUAUGUGCUCGAGAUGUGAUAGAGGCAAUUGCUGAGACUGCUUUUAAAACAUCUGACUACCCAGUUAUUCUCAGUUUUGAAAAUCAUUGCAAUCCAAGGCAGCAAGCCAAAAUCGCUCAGUACUGCAGAGACUUUUUCGGGGAAAUGUUGCUUGAUGCGCCACUCGAAUCGCACAAGUUAGAGCCUGGUCAAGAACUUCCACCACCGGAGUUACUAAAGCGCAAAAUAAUAAUAAAAAAUAAAAAGAAGCAUCACCAUCAUCAUAAAAAGCAUCAGAAAAAGCAGCAGCAAGCUUUAGAUACUGUUGAAGGUACCACAGAGAAUGAAACUAAUGGAACGGCGAAUCUAUCUGCUGCAGGAGAAAACGGUCCUCCGCCGGAUAUUAUACCUCAGAAUGAAAUGGAUGAUGUCGCACCUGAAAAUGAGCAGCAAAUUGGAAAUGGCGAUAUUCCUCACCUGCCGAUGUUGCAACAAAGACAGAGUAGUAAAGACAGUGGCCAGGAUGAUGAAGACGAAGAAGAUGAAUCGAGUACGGAAGACGAUGAGUCUAAUGUGGAAGAUAUAAAAUUAAAAAUCGGUGAUAAAGGCGCACCAGAUAAAUCUGCAGCCAAAGAGACAGAGGCGGGCGCAGAAAUUUCAGCUUUAGUUAAUUAUGUGCAACCCGUACACUUCAAUAGUUUCGAAUCGGCUGAAAAAAAAAAACGCAUGUACGAAAUGUCAUCUUUUGAUGAAAAACAAGCUACGACUCUCUUGAAAGAAAAACCACUAGAGUUUGUGAAUUACAACAAACAUCAACUAUCUAGGGUUUAUCCAGCAGGAACGAGAUUUGAUUCCAGUAAUUUUAUGCCACAAGUGUUUUGGAAUGCGGGAUGUCAAUUGGUUGCGUUAAAUUAUCAAACACUCGACCUGUCAAUGCAAUUAAAUCUGGGAAUAUUUGAGUAUAAUAAACGUUGCGGUUAUCUAUUAAAACCGGAAUUUAUGAGAAGGAAAGAUCGACGGUUAGAUCCCUUUGCUGAAUCUACUGUUGAUGGUAUUAUAGCAGGUACGGUUCAUAUCCACGUAAUAUCCGCACAAUUUUUAACCGACAAAAGAGUAGGGACUUACGUGGAAGUCGACAUGUACGGUCUACCAGCGGAUACCGUAAGAAAGAAAUUCCGUACAAAAAUUGUACCAAAUAAUGGUAUUAAUCCUAUAUACGAUGAAGAGCCGUUCGUAUUUAAGAAGGUAGUUUUGCCGGAACUUGCCUCGAUAAGGAUAGCAGCGUACGAAGAAUCUGGACGUUUAAUCGGUCACAGGGUACUUCCCGUAGUUGGAUUAUGCCCAGGAUAUAGACACGUAGCAUUAAGAACAGAAUGUGGGCAACCCCUACCAUUAGCGAGUCUGUUUUUACACGUUAUCGUAAAAGAUUACGUUCCUGAUGGUUUGAGCGAACUUGCUGAAGCUUUGGCGAAUCCCAUUAAAUAUCAGAGCGAAGUGGAGAAGAGAGAGAACCAAUUAUCGGUUCUUACAGAUUCUUUGGAAGAACCGGAAGAAAUCGAAGAUAAGAGUAAAGUUGGCGAUACUCCUAGUACUGCUAAACCAGCUGAGGAAGUUGUAAAAGCUAAACGAUUACAAUCCAUAGGCGAAUUGCCAAGUCUUUUACCAACUUCCAGUAGCUUACAUAGUAGACCAUCUAUCGGUGGCUUAGGUAGUUCGGACACAGUGGAUGUGGACGAUGACACUCCUUGUCCUGCAGUUCAACCAGUCGAUACGUCUAUAAAUAAAAGCCCAGUCAAUGCUAGCAAUAUAAGUGACGAAAUAGUAGCCGAAAAUUUGGAAAAACUCAUGGAAAACAAGCUAGUCAAGGAGAAAAAGAUGGAACUUGAGAAGAAACUUGAAUCUCUGAGAAAAAAGCACGAGAAAGAAAAAAUGCGGUUACAAUCGCAGAAAGCCUCGAUCGACGGGGAGAAGCAUAGAUCGAAAUUUUAUAUGAGCAACAGGCUGGUAAAACGACUGUCGAGUAAAACUAUCAGUUUUUCGAGUGAAGUGGGUUUAAGCACUUUGACCAUGCCUGAGACUUCCGAAUGUCCGGAGGAUACGGAAAAUCGUGAGGGAAUCGAAGGAACCAGAGGUUUACCUAGAAGUCAAAGUGAACGAUUUUUAGCCGUAUGCAAGGCGCAUGUUCAACAAGAACGUGAAUUACAGGAAAAAUAUUACGAGAAUCUUUUUGCAACUGUCGAGAAAGUGAUGAGAGCAUCGCAAUCCAAUCAAUUAAAAAUGCUUCAAGUGCUUCUAGAUAGAGAAACUGCAGAUGUUAAACGAAAGCUGCAAGCUACGAGACAAGGCGAGGUCAAACAAUUAGCCAAGGUGCACAAAGACAAAGCCGAGUUGGAACGUAUAAAACGAGAAGUUGCAAAAUCGACUGUGGAGAAAGGUGUAAAUGAAUGUACACGCUUAACGAAAAUUUAUGACAAGAAGAGAGCAGAGUUGGAAAGACAGCAUGAAGAAGUGCGGCAAAAACUGGAAGAGGAGCGAGCCAAGGUGAAAGCUAACUUGCUGGCCGAGUAUAGUAGCCGCUACAGCAAAUACGAAAGUGGUGAGUUACCUCUGUCACCGUCUGGCGGAGCUAGUUUACCCGAAUCACUUAGCGAGAAUACAUAUUGACUCACGAAACGAGUCUAGCUAUGUGUUAAAUAAGGAUACGACAUUGAUUCACGGAUGUCUGUGUCUCGUGCCAUUGUACGCAUCGUCCAAAGCAUUCAGUUAUGUAAUCUGGUGCACCAAACGCGAAUCGCAAUCCGAGUUCUGUAACGAAAGUAUUCUCGUGACGUCUGAGAAAGACACCGACCGAAAGCGGCCGAAAUGGAUUCCAAGGCGAUGCAACCGCGUCUGCGUUGCAACCUCAAGCUUUACUCCCGAUAUAACUUGGGAUUAAUGGCCACCGUUCCUGUGGCGGUCCUUCAGGAUCAUGCCCGUCCGUUAAUCCCGAACUCGAUAACCUCCUGGCAGGAUCUUCGUCUUCGCGGAAGCUACACGAUGUCUCGCCAUUGAUC
rnacentral:misc_RNA from 1 species